UUACGGCCACAUCACGUGGAAAACACCGCUUCAUCGAAGUUAAGCAACAUCUAGCCUGGUCAGUACCUAGAUGGGCGACCGUUUGGGAAUAUCAGGUGCUGUAAG